rnacentral:rRNA from 1 species
UACGUAGGGUGCAAGCGUUAAUCGGAAUUACUGGGCGUAAAGCGUGCGCAGGCGGCUAUGCAAGACAGAUGUGAAAUCCCCGGGCUCAACCUGGGAACUGCAUUUGUGACUGCAUAGCUAGAGUACGGUAGAGGGGGAUGGAAUUCCGCGUGUAGCAGUGAAAUGCGUAGAUAUGCGGAGGAACACCGAUGGCCGAAGGCAAUCCCCUGGACCUGUACUGACGCUCAUGCACGAAAGGACGUGGGGAGCAAACAGG